rnacentral:rRNA from 1 species
GCGCGGUGGUCCCACCUGACCCCAUGCCGAACUCAGAAGUGAAACGCCGUAGCG